CACGCCCCCAACAGCUAGCCCAAACUCAAAACGCAACAACCACCAUUAAUACCCCCAAAUCAACGACCUGUGUGCAAGCAAACCAUUUUUCCACCCAAGUAUGGGAGACAGAAAGGGACCUCCAGGAGCAAUAGAAAAAGUACCGCAAGGGAAAGCUGAAAGAGAAAUGAAAAAAUGCAGUAAAGGGCAGAAAAGCAGAGAUUUAAUCUCGUACCUUUUGCAUCAUGAAUUAGCCAGUACCUUCGAGCAAAGAGCACUUUAUGUUCGAAACCCCGAAACUGGGCGAGCUACUCCAAGACAGCCUAUUAUAGGGCAAACCCGUCUCUGUGGCAAAAGAGUGGGAAGAGCUUUGAGUAGAGGUGACAAACCUACCGAGCCCAGUUAUAGCUGGUUGCCUGAGAAAUGAAUAGAAGUUCAACCUUUUGCAUUCUUUAACCCAAAAAGGUCCCACCAGCCUCAGGCCAAAAGAAAGCAAAAGAGCUAUUCAAGGGAGGGACAGCUCUCUUGAAAAAAGACACAACUUUAGUAGAAGGGUAAAGAUUAUAAUGAAUAAAGGCAAUAUACCCAAGUGGGCCUAAAAGCAGCCACCCUAAUAGAAAGCGUUAAAGCUUAAGUAUUUGACCCCUACAAUUCUAAUAAACCUUAUCUUAAACCCCUAAAAUUAUCAGGCCCUUCCAUGCAACCAUGGAAAAGAAAAUGCUAAUAUGAGUAAUAAGAAAGCACCGACUUUCUCCAAUGCACCCGUGUAGCCAGAACAGACUCUAACUGAAAAUUAACGCCCCCGACCAUAGAGGGUAAUGAGCAAAACUAACCAAAACUAGAAACCCCCUCAACCCCAAGCGUUAGCCCCACACAGGUGUGCCCCAGGAAAGACAAAAAGAAAAAGAAGGAACUCGGCAAACAUUUGGCCUCGCCUGUUUACCAAAAACAUCGCCUCUUGCAAAUGACAGUAUAAGAGGUCCCGCCUGCCCUGUGACGAAAGUUUAACGGCCGCGGUAUUUUGACCGUGCGAAGGUAGCGUAAUCACUUGUCUUUUAAAUAAAGACCUGUAUGAAUGGCAUAACGAGGGCUAAGCUGUCUCCUUUUUCUAGUCAAUGAAAUUGAUCUGCCCGUGCAGAAGCGGGCAUUACCCCAUAAGACGAGAAGACCCUAUGGAGCUUUAGACGAAAGGACAGACUACGUUAAAUCCCCUUUGCAAAAAGGAACAAACCAAGUAGCCCCUGCCCUCAUGUCUUUGGUUGGGGCGACCGCGGGGAAACAAAAAACCCCCACGUGGAACAGGACCUCCCUCCUUAAAGCCAGAGCCACAGCUCUAACAAACAGAAAAUCUGACCAACAAGACCCGGCAACGCCGAUCAACGGACCCAGUUACCCUAGGGAUAACAGCGCAAUCCCCUUUUAGAGCCCAUAUCGACAAGGGGGUUUACGACCUCGAUGUUGGAUCAGGACAUCCUAAUGGUGCAGCCGCUAUUAAGGGUUCGUUUGUUCAACGAUUAAAGUCCU
rnacentral:rRNA from 1 species